rnacentral:rRNA from 1 species
AUGGCGGGGGUGGUGCAGAGCGUGCAGGUGCUGGCGUCCUCGCUGGGUGCGCUCCCGCCGGAGUUCGUGCGGCCCGAGCACGAGCGGCCGCCCGCCACCACUUUCCGCGGGGCCUCACCGCUGCAGAUCCCAGUGGUCGACAUGUCCUUGCCGGACGCCGGCAGCCGCAUGGUGGAGGCGGCGAGGGAAUGGGGGAUCUUCCAGGCGGUGAACCACGGCGUGCCGGCGGAUGCCGUGGCGGAGCUGCAGCGCGUGGGGCGGGAGUUCUUCGCGCUCCCUCAGGAGGAGAAGCAGCGGUACGCCAUGGACCCGGCCUCGGGGAAGACCGAGGGCUACGGCUCCAGCGUCCAGAGGAGCCCCGGCGACAGGAAGAUAUGGUCCGACAACUUGUUCCACACCAUCUCGCCGCCGGCCGCGGUGAACCACGGCUUCUGGCCGGAGAAACCUAGGGGGUACCGGGAGGCCAACGAGGCGUACUGUGGCCACAUGAGGCGGCUGACGCGGGAGGUACUGGAGCGCCUCUCGGCGGGGCUGGGCCUGGAGGAGGGCGCCAUGGCGGAGGCGUUCGGCGGCGGCGACGACGGCCUGGUGCUCAUGCAGAAGGUCAACUUCUACCCGCCGUGCCCGGAGCCGGAGCUCGUGCUCGGCUUCGCGCCGCACACCGACCUGUGCGCGUUUACGGUCCUCGUAGCCGACGACGUGCCGGGCCUCCAGGUGUCCAAGGACGGGCGCUGGUACGACGUCGAGCACGUGCCAGGCGCCCUCAUCGUCAACGUCGGCGACCAGAUUGAGAUCUUGAGCAAUGGGAGGUACAGGGCGGUGCUGCACCGGGUGACGGUGAGCAAGGAGAAGACGCGGAUGUCGUGGCCUGUGUUCGUGCAUCCGCGGCUAGAGUACGUCGUCGCGCCGCACCCGCGCCUCGUCGCCGGCGAGAUCCCUGCCAAGUACGACUACAAGGCCAAGACGUUCGAGGACUACAUGUACUGCAAGAUCAACAAGCUACCACAGUAA